GUGGGGAAUAUUGGACAAUGGGGGGAACCCUGAUCCAGCCAUGCCGCGUGUGUGAAGAAGGCCUUUUGGUUGUAAAGCACUUUAAGCGAGGAGGAGGCUACCGAGAUUAAUACUCUUGGAUAGUGGACGUUACUCGCAGAAUAAGCACCGGCUAACUCUGUGCCAGCAGCCGCGGUAAUACAGAGGGUGCAAGCGUUAAUUGGAUUUACUGGGCGUAAAGCGCGCGUAGGUGGCCAAUUAAGUCAAAUGUGAAAUCCCCGAGCUUAACUUGGGAAUUGCAUUCGAUACUGGUUGGCUAGAGUAUGGGAGAGGAUGGUAGAAUUCCAGGUGUAGCGGUGAAAUGCGUAGAGAUCUGGAGGAAUACCGAUGGCGAAGGCAGCCAUCUGGCCUAAUACUGACACUGAGGUGCGAAAGCAUGGGGAGCAAACAGGAUUAGAUACCCUUGUAGUCC
rnacentral:rRNA from 1 species